AUUGAACGCUGGCGGCAGGCCUAACACAUGCAAGUCGAGCGGCAGCGGGAAAGUAGCUUGCUACUUUUGCCGGCGAGCGGCGGACGGGUGAGUAAUGCCUGGGAAAUUGCCCAGUCGAGGGGGAUGACAGUUGGAAACGACUGCUAAUACCGCAUACGCCCUACGGGGGAAAGCGGGGGACCUUCGGGCCUUGCGCGAUUGGAUAUGCCCAGGUGGGAUUAGCUAGUUGGUGAGGUAAUGGCUCACCAAGGCGACGAUCCCUAGCUGGUCUGAGAGGAUGAUCAGCCACACUGGAACUGAGACACGGUCCAGACUCCUACGGGAGGCAGCAGUGGGGAAUAUUGCACAAUGGGGGAAAUCCUGACGCAGCCAUGCCGCGUGUGUGAAGAAGGCCUUCGGGUUGUAAAGCACUUUCAGCGAGGAGGAAAGGUUGAUGCCUAAUACGUAUCAACUGUGACGUUACUCGCAGAAGAAGCACCGGCUAACUCCGUGCCAGCCGCCGCCGUAACAC
rnacentral:rRNA from 1 species